AAUAAUGUCAAAAUAUUGAUAGUGAGACCUGAAAGUUUAAUGCAUCUUAUAGCAAAAGGCUAAUCAUUUAACUCUGAAGUAAUCUUGAAUAACAUCAGGUCUCCAGUAUGUGUAGUGUGCAUAUGGCUACUGGAUAAACCAUUUAUAUAGGCAUUACAUAUCAAAUGAAUUGAACUGAAAGAGUUAAUGAAAGAUAGGUGCUUAAUAAAAGGAAAGGCGGUGUCCCACUUCCUGUCGAUCUGCUCUGUUUCAUGCAGAGACCACCAGCUAUAUAAGUGAUCAUAUAAUCUAGCACGCUUGAAGCUCUGUUUGCAUCUGUUGGGACUGUACACUUCUCACAAUAUGCAUCUUCAGACCUUGCUGUCAUUCGUGGUCAUCUUGACUCUCACACUCCACGCCUGUCUGAGUGAACCAGACAUGCUGCACCCACCUCGACCCUGCACUGAAGCAGAAAACGAGAAUGGUUACAACACUUUUCUUAAACGGCAUGUACGCAAUGACAUACCAACCGAUCUGAACAAAGAAAACUGGAAAAAGUUUAUUAACAGAAUCAGAACCUGGAACAGAACGAUUCAGUCAUUCUUUCCCUUCAGUGAGAAAGACAACGUGGAAGCUGUGUGUUCAUCAGGAGGAAAGAUGUUUGAGAGCAACCUCUGCAUCAGCAAGAAGCCUUUUUCCUUCAUCACUAUUAAGAUUGACAGUAAGAAGAAAAUAAUCAAAAGUGUCAACCUUCAAAAGCAGCAUGUGAUUCUUGCCUGUGAUAAAUUUGGCAACAAAUGUCUCCCUGAUCAUUUUGAGGCAAAUACAAAAAAAUGUAAACCAAAUAACAACAAACUAGACUGCAGUAAAUGAAUGAAUGUUUCACAGAAUUAAUCACAGUUUUUUUUUUUUUUGUUAUGAGGAAGUGUUUCCCUGGCUGUAAUGUAACAGUAGAUAAAUGACCUGCAGAAGUUUUAUAUAUUCAUGUUUUUUUUUUCUUAUUCUGUGGGCUGAUGAAAUUGCUGAUGUUGAAAAUAUAAAUAAAUGUCAUAUAUAUGAAACAACUUUCUCGCUAUUAUGUUUCAGAAACGUCGCUAGUGUCAGGAGAGAGAAGCAAGCACGUCUUACACAUCUAAACUGAUGCUCCACAAAGAUUUUGGAUUUAUUUUCAAUACACAGAUUUUAC
ensembl:lncRNA